ACACUUGGUAAGAGUAAAAGAAUGAUUAAUCACAAAGGCAAAUGUAGGUGGUGCUAAUUAGAAGGAAUUACACAUGUUAUCGAAUAUGGAAUUAUGGAUUCAUCGUUGCCGUAAAUAGUUUUACCUUUAGAUGGAUCAUUAAGUGGGAUUGUGACUAAAACGACUUUUCACGACAGCGUCGUUUGCCGACACUAUGUGAUUAUUAAUGCAUGGCUUAAUCACAAUAUAACAUUCAAACUACAUAUAUAUAUAUACUUCCAAUACUACUACUUUUGAUGGCAAUAUAUCAUACGGUUUAAAUGUUAUUAAUUACAAAGAAAGUCAGAGGCUAGAUCAGAUUGAGUUAUCAUCAUCCUUGGAAUUUAUCAAAAGGAAAAAGAAUAAUCCAUGCUGACAAGAGUGAGACGACCAGCAGUACAGCACUGUUUUAGAGAGAACAAAACCAAGUAGCAGACUCGCAGGCAAAGGAAGGAGUACGCAAGCGGAUUUUUGGACCCACAUGCAUUUUUGAAGUUCCUCUUGUGUUUGCAAUAGAACAUGUCUGGACAGACAUUUUAGGAACUUGUUUUAAUAGAUUUGUGAAAGCUAGCAGCACAAACUUUAGUGCGGACCUUGCUAUUUUUGAGCCAGACUAACCGGCUAUCCUAUAACUAUUACUCUGUUGUCUAUAUUAAUCCUUUCUAACCGAAAAAAAAUAAAUAUUACGGUUCAAACAAAGUCCGUCC